AUUCAACUGAUGUGUUCUAAAUAAGACGAAACGCAUGUUCUGAAU
rnacentral:hammerhead_ribozyme from 1 species